UACUUUGUCUCAUUCAGGUACUACUCUUUUUUUUUUUUUUUUUUCAUUCAAUGCUUUGUGUUAUUGAUUGUCUUUGGAAUACUACUACUAUCUUUCUGAAGACCAUUUAUUUGUAGCUUAUUGGAUUUUGUCUUCCUAAAUUAUUUGGUCAUUCUUUAACUUUGCUUUAAUUUUUCAAUUAGGGGUCGUUUGGUUGCUGGUUAGAAAGUGAGUUAUUCAUGUAUUAAAACCAGCAUAACUAGUACAAUGUUUGGUAGCAUUUUAGUUGCUAUGUAUAAAAUUCAGCACACCAAGUACGGUGUUUGGUUACCAGUUUCGAAUUUCACAUAACUAAUACAUGUAUAAAGUCAUGAGGGAAUCUAUGCAUUAUUUAUACAGGGUAGAAGAUGGAAUAAUUAAUAGUACAUGAACAGAUAAAUCCUGCAUAACUCUAACCAGCAACCAAACAACCCCUUUAAUGUGUAGAUGUCCUAAUACACACACACACACACACACACAAAAAAAAAAAAAAAAAAAAAAAAAAAGAAGAAGAAGAAGAAGAAGAAAAAUAGCAGCCAUAUUUCGUGUAUUGUGGUUCCCAAGGACUUUGAUGAGAUUUGGGCUGGUGAUUGUGUGUUAAUGAGACCGGCUGAUCCUGAUAAACCUCCAUAUGUGGCAAGAGUAGAGAAGCUAGAGGCUGACCACCGGAACAAUGUGAAGGUCAGAGUUAGAUGGUACUACCGACCUGAGGAGUCUAUUGGUGGUCGCAGACAAUUCCAUGGGGCCAAAGAGCUCUUCUUGUCAGAUCAUUUUGAUGUGCAGAGUGCACACACCAUUGAAGGGAAGUGCAUAGUGCACUCUUUUAAGAACUACACCAAAUUGGAGAAUGUGGGUCCUGAGGAUUACUUUUGUAGGUUCGACUACAAAGCUGCAACAGGAGGUUUUACUCCUGACCGUGUUGCUGUGUAUUGCAAGUGUGAGAUGCCCUACAACCCUGAUGAUCUCAUGGUGCAAUGUGACGGAUGCAAAGACUGGUUCCAUCCCUCUUGUAUGGGUAUGACCAUUGAAGAAGCAAAGAAAUUAGAGCAUUUCUUGUGUUCUGACUGUUCCUCAGAAGAUGAAACCAAACGUCCUUUGAACUCAUUUCAUGUUUUACCACCUGAUGCCAAGAUUGGAAUUAAAAAACGACUACAUAUGCAUCCAUGUACAUCUUUCUAUGUGCCUCAAGGGGAUCACAACGUUUAGUUUUGUCAACCGAGAAAAUAACUAUCUCCAACUUUGAAACUCGGUGGAUAAAAAGCCCUUUUCCACUGUUAAGGGCUCGUGACCUGCAAUGUACUUACCUUCGUUGAACUAAAGCCGUGGAGGUUCCUGAAGGGGAUUGCUUCCUGGUGGAGUCAAAGCGCAGGAAGAGAUAAAUAGCUGACCUUAAUGCAAUAUGAGGAGGAGGUACGCAUUUUCUUGCGUAGUCGUUCUGGCAUUGUUGUAUGUGUUAUCAAAUUGUAUAGCGCUGAGGCACGAGAGAGUACUUUAUUUUUUGCAAUAGCCAGAAGCCCUUACUCUAUUUAUUGUGGUAACUUACUAUUUAUAAAAGUUUGUGGCACUAGACUGGGCUGUCUACUGAACGCAAUUUGUGUGGCCUAAUGAGUAAUAACUGGAUAUUGCAGAGUGCCAAAAGAAUCUAGUUACCUUUUUCUUUGUUCAUUUUAUAACUACGGCUUCCCCACCCAGUCCCCCACCCCCCCUCCCCCCCUCCCCACUCGCCCAAUACUGUGUUCUUGAAAAUGGAGAAGUUGGAUGUGAAGCUAUGAUGACAAGCCUGUAAGAGCUGAUCAAGGAUCAUAUUGACGAAUAAGAACGGUGCCCCAUCUCGAGUUGCUCAUCUCUGGUUUGAAUUGGUUAAGUGAGUUGUAAUUCGAUUAAAUGUUCCCGGGAACUAAUUGACCUAUAGAGGUCUCUUGAUCAAGGUCCCUUGAUCGAGGUCCCUUGCAACACUCCUUGUACUUGAUUAAUGGCAAAUUGAGAAACUUCAGCAGCUGAAGAA